rnacentral:lncRNA from 1 species
UUAAGAAAGUAAAGAUGAAUGAAAAUGUUUUAAAAGACUAUGUUUCAAAGUUGAAUACAUAGACAGGUAUGGAACGCGGUUGUUUACUUCAAUGGCAGCUGUGGUCGCCUAACAGCACCAGGCCCUAUUGUAGGGGUUUGGAGUUUUAUGUAUGAGUACGGACAUGGAAGAUAUGGAUGAACAUGUAGAAAUUGUAUUUCAUCAGUUAUGGAGAAUAAAGGAAGAAGCAACAA